AAUUCGAUUAACGCGAAGAACCUUACCCGGGCUUGAACUGCCAGCGAACGAUACAGAGAUGUUGAGGCCCUUCGGGGCGCUGGUGGAGGUGCUGCAUGGUUGUCGUCAGCUCGUGCCGUGAGGUGUCGGCUUAAGUGCCAUAACGAGCGCAACCCCUUUCGUUAGUUGCCAUCAGGUGAUGCUGGGCACUCUGGCGAUACUGCCACCGUAAGGUGUGAGGAAGGUGGGGAUGACGUCAAAUCAGCACGGCCCUUACGUCCGGGGCUACACACGUGUUACAAUGGAAGGUACAGAGAGCAGGCCGCCUGCAAAGUCGGCCGAAUCAUGAAAGCCUUCCUCAGUUCGGAUUGGGGUCUGCAACCCGACCCCAUGAAGCUGGAUUCGCUAGUAAUCGCGCAUCAGCCAUGGCGCGGUGAAUACGUUCCCGGGUCUUGUACACACCG
rnacentral:rRNA from 1 species